rnacentral:rRNA from 1 species
CAGCAGUCGCCACGGGAAUACGUAGGUGGCAAGCGUUGUCCGGAAUUAUUGGGCGUAAAGCGCGCGCAGGCGGAUAGGUCAGUCUGUCUUAAAAGUUCGGGGCUUAACCCCGUGAUGGGAUGGAAACUGCCAAUCUAGAGUAUCGGAGAGGAAAGUGGAAUUCCUAGUGUAGCGGUGAAAUGCGUAGAUAUUAGGAAGAACACCAGUGGCGAAGGCGACUUUCUGGACGAAAACUGACGCUGAGGCGCGAAAGCCAGGGGAGCGAACGGGAUUAGAUACCCCCGUAGUCCCUGUCUCUUAUACA